CGGGACGGGUGAGUAACGCGUGGGUAACCUGCCUCAUACAGGGGGAUAACAGUUAGAAAUGACUGCUAAUACCGCAUAAGCGCACGGGAUGCAUAUCUUUGUGUGAAAAACUCCGGUGGUAUGAGAUGGACCCGCGUCUGAUUAGCUAGUUGGUGAGGUAACGGCUCACCAAGGCGACGAUCAGUAGCCGACCUGAGAGGGUGACCGGCCACAUUGGGACUGAGACACGGCCCAAACUCCUACGGAAGGCAGCAG
rnacentral:rRNA from 1 species